rnacentral:rRNA from 1 species
UACGUAGGGUGCGAGCGUUGUCCGGAAUUAUUGGGCGUAAAGAGCUUGUAGGCGGUUUGUCGCGUCUGCUGUGAAAACCCGAGGCUCAACCUCGGGCCUGCAGUGGGUACGGGCAGACUAGAGUGCGGUAGGGGAGAUUGGAAUUCCUGGUGUAGCGGUGGAAUGCGCAGAUAUCAGGAGGAACACCGAUGGCGAAGGCAGGUCUCUGGGCCGAUACUGACGCUGAGGAGCGAAAGCGUGGGGAGCGAACAGG